CAACAGGGAUUGCCCUAGUAACGGCGAGUGAAGCGGCAACAGCUCAAAUUUGAAAUCUGGCGCAAGCCCGAGUUGUAAUUUGUAGAGGAUGCUUCUAGGCAGCGGCCGGUCUAAGUUCCUUGGAACAGGACGUCAUAGAGGGUGAGAAUCCCGUAUGUGACCGGUUGGCACCUUCCACGUAGCUCCUUCGACGAGUCGAGUUGUUUGGGAAUGCAGCUCUAAAUGGGAGGUAAAUUUCUUCUAAAGCUAAAUACCGGCCAGAGACCGAUAGCGCACAAGUAGAGUGAUCGAAAGAUGAAAAGCACUUUGGAAAGAGAGUUAAAAAGCACGUGAAAUUGUUGAAAGGGAAGCGCUUGCGACCAGACUUGUCGGCGGUGUUCCGCCGGUCUUCUGACCGGUCUACUCGCCGUCGGCAGGCCAGCAUCAUCUGGGGCCGCCGGAUAAAGGCUUUGGGAAUGUAGCUCCCCUCGGGGAGUGUUAUAGCCCUUUGCACAAUACGGUGCGCCUCGGGUGAGGUCCGCGUCUAGGCAAGGAUGCUGGCGUAAUGGUUGUAAGCGGCCCGUCUUGAAACACGGACCAAGGAGUCGAUUAUCUAUGCGAGUGUUCGGGCGUCAAACCCCUACGCGUAAUGAAAGUGAACGGAGGUGGGAACUACGGUGCACCAUCGACCGAUCCGGAUGUCUUCGGAUGGAUUUGAGUAAGAGCAUAGCUAAUCGGACCCGAAAGAUGGUGAACUAUGCCUGAAUAGGGUGAAGCCAGAGGAAACUCUGGUGGAGGCUCGCAGCGGUUCUGACGUGCAAAUCGAUCGUCAAAUUUGGGUAUAGGGGCGAAAGACUAAUCGAACCAUUGACUACUAGGUGGUUGAUCCGUUGCGUAGACAGCGGAGGCGGCGACGUCCGCCGACACCGUCAAAUUGCGGGGAAUCGCUUACGGCCUUCACUGACCGCCGCGGCCUGGAAACGGGCCCAUCGGCGAGGCGUCCUUCGCGGGGCGCCGGAUGGUUGGUGGGGGAUUGCGUGAUCCGCAGCCAAGUCCGCCCGUCACCCCCCUUCCCCGGGGGCGACCCGGACCAGAGUUCACAGACUCGACGUCGGUGGGCCGCGCGGCGCACGCGCGGCUUGAGAGAGAGUCGGAUCGGUCGAGAAAUCGAGCGAAAAGGC
rnacentral:rRNA from 1 species